rnacentral:rRNA from 1 species
UACGUAGGGGGCAAGCGUUGUCCGGAUUUAUUGGGCGUAAAGAGCGUGUAGGCGGCCAUGCAGGUCAGCUGUGAAAACUCGAGGCUCAACCUCGAGACGUCGGUUGAAACCGCAUGGCUAGAGUCCGGAAGAGGAGAGUGGAAUUCCCGGUGUAGCGGUGAAAUGCGCAGAUAUCGGGAAGAACACCGGUGGCGAAGGCGGGUCUCUGGGCCGAUACUGACGCUGAGGAGCGAAAGCGUGGGGAGCGAACAGG